CUUUCACUUAGUAGAAUACACAUUCCAGGAAUUCAAAUUUUAUUGGUGUCAAAACGAUUGAACCAACAUAAUACAUAAUGAAAUCUUGAAGAUACUCUACAUAUAAGAUAAAUUAUAUAUUCUUGUUAUACUUAACACAAUACACUAGUAAAAAAACUGGAUUUAAAAUCGAUCAAUAAGCCUCGUUUUUAGUGAAACCGAAACCUAUUAAAUUACAUUGGAAGAAUUAUAAAUAAGGUGAACUCUUAUGACUCGGUUCACAGCGAACCCAUGCCUAAUAAUUUGAAAGUUGCUGUUGUCCGUGAUCUUUAUGCCUCGGUUGACUGAUAAACCGAGAGCUAUAACUUGUUUUUCUGGGCAUGUUGGCAUCGGGUGUUGGGAGAACCCAUGCAUAUAGCUUUUUAUGGCCCCGUUUUUGUAUUAACCGAGGCAUUAGAUUAGAUGUGCUUUAUCUUACCUCCAGACCCGUAAAAACAUUUUUACCCUACUGUUGUUCCUCUUUCUUCUCCGCGCAAAACUGAUCUUUCUUCUCCAGCCACCGCGACUGCUGCACUGCUGGACCGCGCCUCCACCGCCACCGCUGGACUGCGCCGCCACCACUGGACCGCGCCGCCAACGCUGCACCGCUGCUACGACGUUCAUCCCUUUUCUUUGUUCUUCGUGUUUUAGAUUAGGAAUGAGAGAUAAAUUGUAGCAUGAGAGGAAGAUGUCGUUGUUGGUGGAUUGCAGACGGCUCUGUCUUCGGAGAUGUCGAUUGUGAGGUGAUUUUGGUAGAUCUUGAGCUUAAUCAACUUGAGAGAAAGGCGUGUAGUUUGGUUGAGGAGUGGCUUGCUUCAGAAGCUCGCGGAUGUUCUAGAGAAGCUCGCGGAUG